rnacentral:lncRNA from 1 species
CAAAACCCGUUUAAAAAAAAAAAAAAAAAGAGUGGUCGAGUAUCUUUGUGGUGGUCGAGUCGCGGGCGAUAAGGAUCGAUCGAGAAGUUUUGAAGUACGAAGUGGGCGAAGAAGUGAUCGUGAGUGAACUAUGAGUCAAAUAAGUUGCUCGACCAUAGUUAGAAGAUGUCUUAGAUUGAUGAGACGGACGUUUUGGAAGCAUAACAUUUUUGAAGCACGACGGUUUAGAAGCUCGACGUUUUUGAAGAUUGACAUUUCUUCAUCGCGAAGUUUUCUCGGAAUAUCUUCGUAUCAGUAAAAUAUUAUUCUGAAGACAUUAUAAGUCGGAAGCAGGACGGGAAUUAAGCAGGAUGGGAAGCAAGCACGACGAGAUUGAAGCACGACGGGAAAACCCAAAGUUGGUUGAAAACCCUAAUUUCGGUAUCACGAAAUUCUUUGAGGAAGCCGGAGGCUCGGGAAAUAUUUUUAAAGAAUAUCAGACAUCAUCUGUAUUUUAUUAAAAAUAUUUAGAGAAUCCGAAUGGGAGCGGAAAAAUAUUCGGGAUUGAUCGCGGGUAAGAAAUUCACAGGAAGGGUCGAAAUCGCGCAAAGGAACCGAGAAGCUCGAGGUGGCUUGAUCAGAAGGGAUAAGAACGUGGUGGCAACUGUCUAACCAGCUGAGUGUCAAGAGAAGCUCGAGGUGUCGCUGUGCAUGAAGCAGGAACAUGCAGCAUGACAUGUUGAAGCACGAAGUGUCGCGAUACCUGCAACCGAAGCAUGCUGAUCGACACGCAGGGAGCGGUGUGUUGCGACACAUGCAUUCCGUCAAUGCUGAUCGACAUCUGGUCGUCCAGGCAGGAGAAGAGGUGUCACUUUGCAUGAGUUUUGUCCAUGCUGACUGCCAUGUGGAGCACGAGGUGCCGCGACGCAUGCAACCGGAGCCAUGCUAGCCGACACACGUGCUGCCACCAACUUCAAUCUGAUUCGCUGCUGUAUCCUAUAUAAAGACCACGACCCCUUCUCAUUUCAUUCAUCCAGACUUUUCAAAAGCAAGUUAAAAAAGUGGGUUAAAGAGAGAGAAAGAAGUAGAAAAAGAAAGUAAGAGAUUCUGAGCUAUUUCGAGAGUUUUAGAGAGUUUUCGAGAUCUGUUUCUCUACUGAUUUCAAGUCAGCGCCUAGGGAAGGUUCUGGCCAACUGAAGAUCAACCAAUUGAAGAUCAAUUCAGAUGGGAAGUAAGGAAACGUGGUUAGAGAGAGAGAGAGAGAAAGAGAGUGUAGCUGAGUUCCGAAGAUCGAUACUUCACCAAGAAGCGAAGUUCUGUCCAAUCGAAGAAUUUCUGCAAUUGUUUUCCGGAAGCUCUACCCAAUUCAAUCUGUCCACUCUACACAUAUUCUUUGAUGAUCAAGUGGAGGUGAUGUCCAAGAUCAGUUCAGUUCCAUGGUUUCAGUUCAGUCGAGGUUAUGAUUCGAUACUCUGUUCAGAUUUCGGAAGAAUUGUUCAGAAGCUAAGGAAGGUGUUGUUCGAGUUGAGUUCAGUCCAGACCAGUAUCAGGGGAGGUUCUGUACAAGUCAAGAUCAGUCCAGUCCAGUCAAGUCGUCCCUUGGGUUUUGGCCAUGUCCUCUCCGAUCAACCAGCUGCUUCUUGCCUAGAACACUGUGAGUUGGUUUGUUUGAAUUCCACUUGGAAUUUAGGGUAGAUCGAGUCUGCAUAUAGAUUAGAAUGAUCACGCUAUUGAAUGGUAGAGUCCUUAGGGUUAUUUUAUUUAUGGAACCGGACUCAGUUUAGAAAGGCCUAAGCUGAGAUGAAAGGAAUUAAGACUGAAUUAAUAACCUGAUUAGGACUAAGGCUAGGAUGCAUCAUGUUUUCUAUUCUUGUGUGUUGAUUUGGUUAAGUGCAGGUUCCCGUUAUCUUUAAGGAUUGUUUCAUAGCAGGAGGCUGGACUAUCUGGAUAAUGGUUUGAUUUAAUUGAUUAGUAUUGAUUAUUAUUGCUUAGUUGUUUAGUAGUUAGUACUAAGGGUCUUAGGCCAUAUAGGCCGGACUACUGGUACAAUUGGUUUGUGUUAUAGAGUCGAGUGUCUAGUUAGGAUCUGUAACUUUGGCUUUAGGUUAGGUUCUAGAUUGAGUUUGUUUUGUUGUGAGUGUGCCGAUAGUAUGUGCGAAACCCGCCCAUACUAGGCUUGUGUAGGGGUGAUUAGUGUUUCCUCGGCCUCGUACCCAGCGGGUUCAAGGAAACCCCUUAUUCGCUGGAUCGGGAAGACUCAGACAAACGGUGUCAUGUACUAUGGCUGAGUAUUACACGACGGUGUAAUGUGGCAGUGACCCAAAGGACUGUGGGCUGUCGCGCGGUGACCCGAAUGACUGUGGGCCGCGGUUGGUUGAAAGUUCCUUCUUCUGGCCUUUGUGGUUGGGAGAUAGGAUAUUGCCGAUAGAGAGGAGGGACACAAAGUCACCAGGGCCCAGGUCAGAGUGUUGUGUUAGUGUGUCGUAGAGGGUUAUGGAACCCUCGAGUCAGUGUAGCACUGAUAUACGGUGUUACGAGUUAGAUCGAGUCGUAGAUACUCAUAGUCUUAUUAUUGUGAUUGUGUUUGUGGUUGAUUGAUUUGCUUGCAGGUUCUGACAUUAAGUCCUAAGUCUGGCUUAGGUACCGGAUUAGGCUUGGUGUGUAUUUGGUUAUUGUAGGCCUGACGUUGGCCUGUAUGUGUUUGAGGGAUUGCUUGUGAAGGGUGGUGGAUAUUAAAGCUAUGCGGUAUCAUUGAUUGGCCGAUCAUGUUCUUGUUUGAUUGUUGGUCGAUCGACUAGUGAUACUUGUAUAGUCUAAGUGUCUAACACUACGUGAGUACUGAACUCAGGCGUAUAUAUGGUUAACUAGGGAUUGGUUGUUGACUUGUUUUUAUGCAGGUUCCUGUUACUUGAAGCUAGAUCAUGGCAGGAGGACAAGUCUAACUUAGUAUCGGUUUGCUUAGCCGUAGCUUUUAUUGCAUGCUAGGGCUAGAUUGAUUGUUAUUUUGGGUUGUCCGGGUUUGAGUCUAGGUUGCAGGUAGAGGCCGCCAGCUCACUGAGUAACAUUAGGUUACUCAUCCAACUCCGUUGUCCUUUUUGCAGGUCGCUUUAGGUAAGGAUGAUCGGAUAGCUUGGUGCUGGACGUUAGGACCGCCGGUGUAGAUUUUCAUGCCUUUUGUAAACGGUAUUGUGGAUUUGUGUUUAGUUGACUCGAUUUGGCAUUAGGUCGGGACCGGUCUCGAAUUAUAUCAAUGUAUGGAUAUUUCUCGAAUUAACAAAGUAAUUGUUUUAUAUGCGCUUCAUGAGUACUCUGAUAUUUGACUAGUCCGGUCUAACACAACGUUAGGUCGAGGUACGGGUUGAAAAGCCUUAGGCCUUAAUCUAACGGAAAACGCUAACUCUAGGUACGGGUUGCAAAGCGUUAUGCCCUGACGCAGCGGGACGAGUUAGUGGAUGAACUGGUCUAGGUCGUGGAGUAAAGUUUGUGACUCUGACCGGAUCGUCCCUAGCCCGUCACGUAGCGCUUCCGGACCAUGGUGUUGGGUUGGACGGUCAGUCAUGUUCUUGUUUGAUUGUUGGCUGGCCGGUUGGCCUUUCAUCUCCAGCCCUUGGUGUAAGUCGUCCGUCGGUCAUGUUCUAGUUUGAUUGUUGGCCGGUGGGUCGACCUAUGCUUAGGACGGUUCGGGGGUGUUAUAGAGGUGGUAUCAGACCAUGGUUUCGUCCAUUCUUCCGGAACUCAUGAUUUAAUCGGUUUUAAAUAUUUAUCGAGUCAAAAAGAGUCACAAAAGGCAUUAGGGAAACCGGUCACGUCCAGCGAUAGGAUUUGUGGUUUUAGGAAUUAGGAUUGAGAUAGUGGAAUCUAGAAUUGCUAGGUUGCUUGGGUAGCACUGUUAGGUUGCUGGUUAGAAUUGCGGUUAGGUUGCAUUGUUAGUAUUUGCUGGGUUAGUAGAUUAUGUGAUUAAUUGUCUACUAACUUGCAUGUGAGGUGUUCUUUUGAGUUGCAGCGAGUAAGUGCGUUUGUUGAUCGGUACUUUAAGGGAUGAAAACCUUAAAGUGGAGGGAGUUCGAGGCCAAACCCAAACCCGAAGCGAAAGAGGAGAGACAGAUUCAGAGAACUGGGCUGUGGUAUGGACUGGACAGAUGGGAAGAAACAAGACUUCAUUGGGAAAGGACUUCAUCAGUACUUGGGAAGACGAAGAUCGAGAAGGAUUUGAGGAAUCUGGACAAGGAUGAUAUCUAUCAAAAUGACAAGAUAGUAUCACUGGCGAUGAGUGUGUUAUGACAGAGUAAAAGCAAGAGGACGACUCAGUCAUCAUACAAGUGAAGAGAUAUAAAGACAAUUGUGGAGGCCUUGAAGAGGACACUGAAGGAACCGUGGUGGACAGAGUAAAGAGGUUAUGGAGACGACUGGAGAGUGUUGUGAAGACGAGCAAUUUCGCAACUAAGAAUUCGAGGACGAAUUCUAUUAAGGGGGGGGGGGAGAAUGUAGAAACCCGUUAAAGAAAAAAAAAAAAAAGAGUGGUCGAGUAUCUUUGUGGUGGUCGAGUCGCGGGCGAUAAGGAUCGAUCGAGAAGUUUUGAACUACGAAGUGGGCGAAGAAGUGAUCGUGAGUGAACUAUGAGUCAAAUAAGUUGCUCGACCCUAGUUAGAAGAUGUCUUAGAUUGAUGAGACAGACGUUUUGGAAGCAUAACAUUUUUGAAGCACGAUGGUUUAGAAGCUCGACGUUUUUGAAGAUUGAUGUUUCUUCAUCGCGAAGUUUUCUCGGAAUAUCUUCGUAUCAGUAAAAUAUUAUUCUGAAGACAUUAUAAGUCGGAAUCAGGACGGGAAUUAAGCAGGACGGGAAGCAAGCAAGACGGGAUUGAAGCACGACGGGAAAACUCGAAGUUGGGCGAACUAAUUUCGGUAUUACGAAAUUCUUUGAGAAAGCCGGAGGCUCGGGAAAUAUUUUUAAAGGAUAUCAGACAUCAUCUGUAGUUUAUUAAAAAUAUUCAGAGAAUCAGAAUGGGAGCGGAAAAAUAUUUGGGAUUGAUCACGGGUCAGAAAUUCGCAAGAAGGGUCGAAAUCGCGCAAAGGAACCGAGAAGCUCGAGGUGGCUUGAUCAGAAGGGAUAAGAACCUGGUGGCAACUUUCUAACCAGCUGAGUGUCAAGAGAAGCUCGAGGUGUCGCCGUGCAUGAAGCAGGAACAUGCAGCAUGACAUGUUGAAGCACGAAGUGUCGCGAUACCUGCAACCAAAGCAUGCUGAUCGACAAGCAGGGAGUGGUGUGUCGCGACGCAUGCAUUCCGUCAAUGCUGAUCGACAUCUGGUCG